CAGGCCUAACACAUGCAAGUCGAACGAAUUUUAAUAUAGCUUGCUAUAAUAAAGUUAGUGGCAAACGGGUGAGUAACGCGUGGGAAUCUACCCAGUAGUAAGGAAUAACAGUUGGAAACGACUGCUAAUACCAUAUAACCUCUUCGGAGAAAAGAUUUAUCGCUAUUGGAUGAGCCCGCGUCAGAUUAGGUAGUUGGUGGGGUAAAAGCCUACCAAGCCUACGAUCUGUAGCUGGUCUGAGAGGAUGAUCAGCCACACUGGGACUGAGACACGGCCCAGACUCCUACGGGAGGCAGCAGUGGGGAAUAUUGGACAAUGGGCGAAAGCCUGAUCCAGCAAUGCCGCGUGAGUGAUGAAGGCCUUAGGGUUGUAAAGCUCUUUCAGCAGAGAAGAUAAUGACGGUACCUGCAGAAGAAGCCCCGGCUAACUCCGUGCCAGCAGCCGCGGUAAU
rnacentral:rRNA from 1 species